rnacentral:rRNA from 1 species
GGGCCGUUCCGGAUUAUUGGGCGUAAGAGCUCGUAGGCGGUUUGUCGCGUCUGCCGUGAAAGUCCGGGGCUCAACUCCGGAUCUGCGGUGGGUACGGGCAGACUAGAGUGAUGUAGGGGAGACUGGAAUUCCUGGUGUAGCGGUGAAAUGCGCAGAUAUCAGGAGGAACACCGAUGGCGAAGGCAGGUCUCUGGGCAUUAACUGACGCUGAGGAGCGAAAGCAUGGGGAGCGAACAGGAUUAGAUACCCUGGUAGUCCAUGCCGUAAACGUUGGGCACUAGGUGUGGGGGACAUUCCACGUUUUCCGCGCCGUAGCUAACGCAUUAAGUGCCCCGCCUGGGGAGUACGGCCGCAAGGCUAAAACUCAAAGGAAUUGACGGGGGCCCGCACAAGCGGCGGAGCAUGCGGAUUAAUUCGAUGCAACGCGAAGAACCUUACCAAGGCUUGACAUGAACCGGUAAGACCUGGAAACAGGUCCCCCACUUGUGGCCGGUUUACAGGUGGUGCAUGGUUGUCGUCAGCUCGUGUCGUGAGAUGUUGGGUUAAGUCCCGCAACGAGCGCAACCCUCGUUCCAUGUUGCCAGCGCGUUAUGGCGGGGACUCAUGGGAGACUGCCGGGGUCAACUCGGAGGAAGGUGGGGACGACGUCAAAUCAUCAUGCCCCUUAUGUCUUGGGCUUCACGCAUGCUACAAUGGCCGGUACAAAGGGUUGCGAUACUGUGAGGUGGAGCUAAUCCCAAAAAGCCGGUCUCAGUUCGGAUUGGGGUCUGCAACUCGACCCCAUGAAGUCGGAGUCGCUAGUAAUCGCAGAUCAGCAACGCUGCGGUGAAUACGUCCCCGGGCCUUGUACACACCGCCCGUCAAGUCACGAAAGUUGGUAACACCCGAAGCCGGUGGCCUAACCCCUUGUGGGAGGGAGCUGUCGAAGUGGGACUGGCGAUUGGGACUAAGUCGUAACAAGGUAAC